AUUGAACGCUGGCGGCAGGCCUAACACAUGCAAGUCGAGCGGAUGAAGGGAGCUUGCUCCUGGAUUCAGCGGCGGACGGGUGAGUAAUGCCUAGGAAUCUGCCUGGUAGUGGGGGAUAACGUCCGGAAACGGGCGCUAAUACCGCAUACGUCCUGAGGGAGAAAGUGGGGGAUCUUCGGACCUCACGCUAUCAGAUGAGCCUAGGUCGGAUUAGCUAGUUGGUGGGGUAAAGGCCUACCAAGGCGACGAUCCGUAACUGGUCUGAGAGGAUGAUCAGUCACCCUGAACCUGGGACACGUUCCAGACUCCUACGGGAGGCAGCAGUGGGAAUUAUUGGACAUUGGCGAAAGCCUGAUCCAGCCAUGCCGCGUGUGUGAAGAAGGUCUUCGGAUUGUAAAGCACUUUAAGUUGGGAGGAAGGGCAGUAGGUUAAUACCUUGCUGUUUUGACGUUACCAACAGAAUAAGCACCGGCUAACUUCGUG
rnacentral:rRNA from 1 species